UGUCAGGAGUUACAGUCCGCCCCAAAUAUUUUUACUCUCUUAUUGUAUAUACAUUGACACUGUAUUGAUUUCGAUAAAUCCUUUAAGAUGUACUUAAAUAAAGAGAAUGGGAAGCGGCCAAGGGAAAAUAGCAAAGGUACCUGAAAGCUACAGAAGUCAAAUAGGAAGGAGAGGGAAGUCUGGAGGAGACAUCCAUUGCCUGCAGCCCAGGGCCAGAGUUUCCUUGCGAUAUGGCGGUCUCACUAUGUUGGCCAGGUUGGUCUUGAACUCCUGGCCUCAAGCAAUCCUCCCACCUCAGCCUCCAAAGUGUUAGGAUUACAGGUGUGAGUCACCACACCUGGCCUGGUUGGUAUUGAUUUUUAAAAAGUGAUUUGUUACUUGUUGUCCAUGAAACUUGGUGUGCUCUAAAUAGGUUGUUUGUUUCACUACAUGACAUUCCAUAUACUUACCAUCAAUUCCAAUUAAUAGGAAUUCCAAUAGAAUGGCUGAAACAAAUUGAGUAGAACAAUUACUAACUCCUUUAGACAUUAUUAUGUUA
rnacentral:lncRNA from 1 species